GGGGGCUCACACAAGCGGUGGAGCAUGUGGAUCAAUUCGAAGCAACGCGAAGAACCUUACCUGGGUUUGACAUGCACGGAUGCUCUUCCUGAAAGGGGAGUAGGCUGCCUUCGGGUGAAACGUGCACAGGUGCUGCAUGGCUGUCGUCAGCUCGUGCUGUGAAGUGUCGGGUUAAGUCCCAUAACGAGCGAAACCCCUGUCGCUAGUUGCCAGCGGGUCAUGCCGGGUACUCUAGCGAGACUGCCGGUGUCAAACCGGAGGAAGGUGGGGACGACGUCAAGUCAUCAUGGCCUUUAUGUCCAGGGUGUCACACGUGCUACAAUGGGGCGGUACAGAGCGA
rnacentral:rRNA from 1 species